UACUUAUCCAGAGUGGCGGAGGGAUCGGCCCUAUGAUGCCACAGCAACCGCUCCGAUGUAACAUCGGAGGCAGGUGCUAACUCCAGCAAGGCUUAAUUAAUAAGUCCUUGAAAGAUAAGAU
rnacentral:ncRNA from 2 species